rnacentral:rRNA from 1 species
UAGGGAAUCUUCCACAAUGGACGCAAGUCUGAUGGAGCAACGCCGCGUGAGUGAAGAAGGUUUUCGGAUCGUAAAGCUCUGUUGUUGGUGAAGAAGGAUAGAGGCAGUAACUGGUCUUUAUUUGACGGUAAUCAACCAGAAAGUCACGGCUAACUACGUACCAG